rnacentral:lncRNA from 1 species
GAGCUCAUGUACCUCCGGAUUGUACUCAAAGCCGUAUUCAAAGAAGAUCGACGCCUUAAGGAUGCCGAGGGGUUAUCAACCACCAAAGUUCAUGCAAUUUGAUGGAAAGGGAAACCCGAAACAGCACGUGGCCUACUUCGUUGAAACUUGCAACAACGCAGGAAUCGAAGGGGAUUACCUCGCCAAGCAGUUUGUGCGCUUGCUGAAAGGAAGCGCCUUUGAGUGGUACACGGAUCUGGAGCCUGAGUCCAUCAACAGUUGGGAGCAAUUAGAGCGGGAAUUCCUCAACCGCUUCUAUAGUACCCGCCGCACUGUGAGCAUGCUAGAGCUAACGAGCACAAAGCAGUGGAAGGACGAGCCAGUCAUUGACUACAUCAACAGAUGGCGCACUCUAAGCCUUGACUGUAAGGACAGGCUCUUGGAAACCUCUUCAAUCGAGAUGUGCAUCCAAGGCAUGCAAUGGGGUUUACAAUACAUCCUUCAAGGCAUUAAACCGCGGACCUUCGAGGAAUUGGCCACUCGCGCCCAUGACAUGGAGUUGAGCAUCGCCCAUCAUGGGAAGAAAGAACCGGUCACCGACUACAAGGACGACAAAGUUCUUGGGACAAAGGCGGAAAAGACUGCAUGGAAACCCACCAAGGAAGCGAUGACGGUCAAUACAGGUCCCGUCAAAAUCUCCACACGAGGCAAGGUGAUUCAAAACGAAGCUUUUCGUGAUCAAGAGAUGCGUAGACGCACUUUGAAGGAGCUUGAGGAGAAGACUUAUCCAUUCCCCGACUCUGAUGUGGUUGCCAUGCUGGAUGACCUGUUGGACAAGAAGGUGAUCAGUUUGCCUGAGUGCAGACGGUCGGAAGAGAUGAAUCGUACCGACAAUCCAAGAUACUGUAAAUUCCAUCGCUUCAUCAGUCAUCCGACAGAAAAAUGUUUCGUGCUGAAAGAUCUUAUCAUGAAACUGGCUCAGAAAGGAAUCAUCGAGCUAGAUCUUGACAAAGUGGCGAAGUCAAACUAUACCACCUUCACUUCUGGCUCUUCCGACUCAAAGUUUUCACCUCAACCGCUGGGGGCAUCGUCCAAGACAAGCAAAAUUGAAGGAUGGACUCAAGUCACUCCUAAGAAAUUGCACAAGAAGCAUACGUCUCCUCCACAUGUCCGCCAAUUGGAAAGGGGGCAAAGCAGCUCUUGUCAACCUUCAAAGCAACAUAAACGUGUUGAAGAUGAUGAAAUUUCGACACAUAGAUCGUCCAUCCCUAUCACAAUGCGUGAUUUCUUUCCUGAAGACUUCUUCAAUCACUCGGUCAAGGCUCAUUGCUAUGAAGAUUAUGAGGAACGCCUCUCCAAAAUUGCUUGACAAACACACCAACGCUCCUUGCCUGCACGAGCUGAAACUGCAACACGGCACCAAAUGCUCCUUGUCUGCACGAGUUAAAACUGCAAACGACACCAACGCUCCUUGCCUGCACGAGCAUAAAAGGCAACACCAACGCUCCUGGUCUGCACGAGCAUAAAAGGCGACGACCCAAAGCUCCUUGCCUGCACUAGCCUAAACUGCAUGGCACAAUGCUCCUGGUCUGCACGAGCAUAAAAGGCAACACCAACGCUCCUGGUCUGCACAAGCAUAAAAAGCAACACCAACGCUCCUUGCCUGCACGAGCUGAAACUGCAACACGGCACCAAAUGCUCCUUGUCUGCACGAGUUAAAACUGCAAACGACACCAACGCUCCUUGCCUGCACGAGUUAAAACUGCAAACGACACCAACGCUCCUGGUCCGCACGAGCACAAAAGGCGGCACCAAAUCGCUCCUUGCCUGCACGAGUUGAAACUGCAAACGGCACCACCAAAAGAAAAUACAAAAAAAAUAUGUAUGUAUUUGAACUACGUUUUGACUUGAUCUCUUUCUUUGGAAGGGUACGUAGGCAGCUCGAGCAUUCAAAAUUUUGAGUUCAGUCACAUCAAAAUAUAAAUAAAUGUUUUAUUAAAGAAAGUCAAUUUUAUUAAAAAAAAAAUGAUGAAUACAUAUGUUUAUGUAUUUAAAAAAAUAAAAAUUCCUUAUACAUACAUAUAUAUAUAUAUAUAUAUAUAUAUAUAUAUAUAUAUGUCUUCUAUCUAGCAGCAAUAAACCCAUCAAAAGGAGGUUGGCCAAGCCCAAAGCCUAUUGUCCAAAUCCAGCUCCAAGAAGAAGAAACCCAAAUCAAACCAGGCCCAUCUCCUUCCUUGUCCACCAAUUUCAAAACCGGGCCCAGCUCUCAAAGCCCAUCUUCACAAGUCUCACUCUCUCUGCUAAAAUGGCUGCGGGGAAUGUGAAACCGAGCGAAUCGAUGGUCUCGAUGAUCGUCCUUCCUUCUCCACCGUUCCGCCGCCUACUCUCGUCUUCUCUCGGUCGGAGCUCCACAAAGCCUUCAGAUGCAAUGGUUCAGGAUUAGGGUUCAAAGGUGCUGGGAUCAAAUAGAUUUGCAAAGCUUCAGAGAAAAUGGUAGAUCUGCUCUCGUCUUCUCUCGUCAGCCCUCAUCUCCCCCAUCUCUUUUUCAAACUUCUGGUGGCAGAAUUGGUUGGUGAAUUGUUAGAGUCCAUCAAUCCCUACCUACGACCAUUCUCACCAAAACCCCCAACUUUCCCUUCCGCCAAGCUCCCACAAUUGUAGAGACACCAAUUUAGACAACUCUCGAAAGAGAUUUUUUGAGAGAGAGAUGGCCCAAGUGAGCAAAAUCUGCAGCAAUGGAGCUCAAAGCAUCAAUCUUUUGCCCAAUGUUUCCAAACCCCAAAUGCCCAGAUCAUCAAAUUUUCUCCCAUUGAAGUCCCAGUUUCUGGGUUCCUCAAAUUCUUUGAGUUUGAAGCUGAAAAAUGGGCUUGUGGGCAGUUGGACCGUCGGUAAAGUCAGGGUCGAUCCGCUUACAGUUGCACCUUCAGUUGCCACAGCAGAGAAGCCGUCCACGGUUCCGGAGAUUGUGCUGGCAACCUAUCAGCAAAAAAAAAAAAAAAAUCUGCCAGAAUUGAAUAUCAAGGUAUCUGGUGAUCCAAUAAUGAUCAAAUUCCAGGAUGUGAAACCGACUCCUGCUGGGACAGUGGCACAGUGUGUUUUGCUCCAUUUGGAUGGUUCAAUCAAUUUCAGCAAUGUGGAAUAAGGCAAUAUGUGUUCAGCAGUUCAACAAGGGCACUUCUCCAUAGCGGUCAAG